UAUGGAAAUGCAGGAAAAUUAAGAAUUACAUUUUUGACCCGCAACUACAUACAUUGCAACCCAAUAUGCAAUGUUAUUUGAGUGACACAAUUAAAGAGUACCUUCUAUUGAUGGAAAGGUUCUGAGAAAAUAUUACUGAAUUAAUUGUCAUUGCCUUACAGAAUACAUUGAGCUGAUUUUCAUCUUUGAAAAAUUAGUUUUUUUCUGGUAUCUCCCCAGAAGGUGACUACCCAUAGGUCUGAGAACACUAUGGAUGGAGUUUGGUUCCCUACAACACCUGAUUCUCUAUUAUUUUUCUUUUUUUUUUAAAGGAAAAUGUCAUUUUUCUUCUAAUUCCUUUGCCCUCUGCCAGCUUAAAUGGUAUAAAUAGGCAAAUAAACCUCAGCAAAUCACUAGGGUGGCUUCAGGGGUAUUUGUUUGUUUUAUCUAGUAGCCCUUGGAAGCUUCAGGCUGGUUGUGCCAGCUCUGUACAAACACUGGGUGCGGUGGGAAAUCUUUAUGUGUGAAGAGCUGACAGCCUGUGUGGAGGGAAGAGCACAAGCAGCAGCUUAACAAAUACCUGUCUGGUCAAUAAAGGACAAGUGAAAAAGCCAUGGGAUUACAUGGAUUACAGUACUUGGUUACACAGAUUAACCAGGCAAUUAAAGGCAGCAGGAACAAUAAAUAUCCUUCAAAGGGGAGCCGCUAUUGGGCUGUAGGCUGAAUGUGGCCUUCCAGCUCUAAACUGGUUUUGCCAUAAACACAAAAUCACAAAAGCUGAAGGAGAGGGACAAGGCCCUGGAAACAGACCCACAAAUGAGACAUGCUUUCCUUGAAUCCUCAAGAAAUUUUAUACCGUUGACUGGGGUCUUUUUCAUUUAUAUUUUGAUGGUUUCUUAUCUUACGUUUUAAAAGGAAAUCUGCUGAAUGUCUAAAAUGCCUUUUGGCAGUCAGGCCUUUUGUUGCUGAUCUCCGACUUAAAAACAGUUUAACUUAUCAAGAAGCUUUGGUGUAGAUCUGGUGUAGUGGGUUGGUUCAUUUGGUUUUUAAAUGCUUUCUUUUGGAUCACUUUUAAUCAUCACUUACAUUGCACAUGGCCAUUUAUGCAUUGACAGGUUGAUGGGGACUUUAAUGUACAUAAAACUUUCUCUGUCAGGACUUAUGCCUCUCUGUCAGAUUUUAUCCUGCAGUAGAGAGGGUUCAUGUACAGUUGCUGACAGAUAAAAUAAGCUCCUCCAGCAGCUGCAGCUCUGCCUCCCACAGGUUUGUUUUUUUUCUGCUCUGGUUCUGUGUCCCCAGCUAAGUGUUGAGAAAGCACAGGGCUGUGUCGGGACAGACAAGCAGGAGUACAGCAAGAGGGACAAUGACUUCACCACAGGCCUGUAGUGCAACUCUAAAUGUUUGACAUCUUUCUUUAGCCCCAGGUGCAGGAGACAGAUGGAAAAACUGAGGCACACAGACACCUUCCUAUCCAAGACCGCACAGGAAAUCUGUGGCAAGACCAGCACAGGCUCCUGAUCACAGGAGUCUGCAUCUGUAGGGGUUUGGGGAGGACAGCUGAGCUCCCUUGCACUCAGAUGCCUGUGGCAAGAGCUGAAGUGCACACCAGCAAAAGAUGAGUUCAGCAUGUGCCAGGAUGAAGAGCAAACCAAUAUUUUCUGGAGGGACUCUUCCACCAUCUGCAGCAUCCAGCAACUGGAAAAAUCCUCCCAAUAACUGGGUUGCCUCUGCAUUUUCUUAACGGUGUUCAAUUUCUCCUCCCUUUGCAUGGGACUAAGUUGUUCUUUCAUGAUUGUAUUCUGUGUGGUUAUGGACUAGCUAACCUGGAAAGUGCUACCAAGUCUCCCCUAUUUCAAAUAUUACAUGCAGAAUGAAACACACCUUUGCUAAAAUAAUGGAAAUAAACCAUGAGUCUAAAAAGUGGUUUGGAUAGUGCAGUUAUGAAAGAAACCAUCCUAUUUCCUUGUGGUGAAGAGAAUAACAAAGAGGAUCACACAAGUCCAACAUUAUCUUUUUCCCCAGUUUAAUUUAUGUCCAUGUGUUACAUAGUCUGUAUCUCUUUUAAAUGUCUGGUUGGACACUGCAGCCUGUUUCACCCCCAGUGCAAGUUUCCUAUUUUCCUCUCAGAGCUGAGAUGUGCUGAGGCCCUUGCAGGGCUCCUUGACUACACAUAUAUUUGGGACAACCCUAUCCAUGCAAGCAAAGUUCAGAAAACUGAAGACAACGCGUAUUACUCAGACUAUCCUAUUAACACAGGCAAAUGGUAACCGGUGGGGGCAGCAAGACUUCUCCCUGCUCCCUCUGACACUGCUGCUGCAGUGGGAGUGGUACCAGCAAGACUCUGGGUUUGUAGGGGUCCACUCUGGGGCUCCUCAGCCCAUCCUACAGACACUAUGGCCACUUUCAGACUGCUGAGGUGUGAAACACUGAUAUCAGUGUAACAUCAGAGCCAAAAAAAGCUUAUUUUGUCAAUUUAGAGUAACAAAAGUGAAGAGCUUCUCGCUCCACUCAUCUCUUGCAUUCAUCACCAUGAAAUGGAAGAACGAGUACGGAGUCGUGCAACAAGCUGUCACAUCAGCUUCAAAAGCAAUGGCCCACACAAGCAAAUUUCCCUACUGUACAGUCUUGUUAUUUAAGAUUAUUUAAUCAAAGGUGGCAGAAAGCAAGAGGUGGUUGUUGUUUGUUAGUUUUUUUCCCCCAAGAAAGCAAUUCAGCCAUUUCCAGAACCGGUCUGAGUGUUGACAGCAGCAUCUACCCACAGAUACAAGGUAUAAAUUGCUUAAUUAUGUGUGAAGAUUAUGGGAGCUAUGUCAAGCCUGAGUCACCAGCAGUUAUUUGAAAAGGUAAAACAAAAAUGAUUAGCAAAUUCCUCUGGAAAGUGGUAAUUGUAAUUUUUCUUCCUGUGCAUGUGGGGGUUGCUGUGUCUCCUGGCAGUACUGUGGCCACCUUCACAUGUGUUCAGUGGCAGGGGCCAAACAAAACUCAGGGCUCAGACAUUGCAAUAUUAACGGGCUUCCAAGGGACA